rnacentral:lncRNA from 1 species
CUAACACAAAUUUUACAGGAAUGUAUAAACAGCUAGUGACCAAAGUUCUCCUGUCCACAUUCCAACCAACAAAUAUUACAACCAACAGUCUGUAUAAAUUUCCACAUUGUUUUCCUCACCAUCCAUUUGCAAACCCCCCUAGUUGUUUCCUCCACAUAUAUAGCAGAAAACAAUCCAAACCAAAAUGUUCCAUAAAAAAAUCCCAACAAAUAUUAUAUAUAAAUAUUCCACACUCAAAAUAAAAUUUUAAUAUCAACAUGAGAAAAUGAAUUUAAAAUAAAUAGCUAUGAAAGAACAAAAGAACCCUCUUCAUUUCCCACUGCAGUUUGUCUCAAUCAGAGGGCUUGGUCUUGGACCUGUAGACAAGCUUCUUCCUCUU